UGCAUCUAGAUUAGAGUUUGAUCCUGGCUCAGAUUGAACGCUGGCGGCAGGCCUAACACAUGCAAGUCGAGCGGUAACAGAGAGUAGCUUGCUACUUUGCUGACGAGCGGCGGACGGGUGAGUAAUGCUUGGGAACUUGCCUUUAGGAGGGGGAUAACCGCGGGAAACUGUGGCUAAUACCGCAUAAUGUCUACGGACCAAAGCAGGGGAUCUUCGGACCUUGCACCUAGAGAUAGGCCCAAGUGAGAUUAGCUAGUUGGUGGGGUAAAGGCUCACCAAGGCGACGAUCUCUAGCUGUUCUGAGAGGAUGAUCAGCCACACUGGGACUGAGACACGGCCCAGACUCCUACGGGAGGCAGCAGUGGGGAAUAUUGCACAAUGGGGGAAACCCUGAUGCAGCCAUGCCGCGUGUGUGAAUAACGCCUUCCGGUUGUAACGCACUUUCAGUGGUGAGGAAGGGCCCUACGAUU
rnacentral:rRNA from 1 species